CCACUGCGAAGAGGAGGGUCGCUGUUUCCCACACGCGUCGCACUGACUCAGUGGCCAUGGCGUUCUGUUACCGGGACCGACGCCGCGGCUUCGAUACCCAAUAUGAAUGACCCCGUGCCGAUGGGGGCAGAAUCGGAAUCAGCGAUCUGUGGAGGCGUGGGCGACAUCGAUUGUCAGCCAGAAAGCCGCGAUCAACGCAGCCUACCGCCGGAGCCACGAAGCGGCCAUACGCUACAUGGUGUCCUCCAAUUCUGGCCAGCAUCUAAUUGUUGGCCAACAUGGCCAACAAUUCUGGCCAACAGCUAAGGAGACAGCUUCGAGCGCAAACCAUGGAUCGCGUCUGCAACGUGGUCAGGAACCAUCUUGACGACGCAUGGAAGGAUCACGCAAGUCAAUCUGGGCCAAGAGAUGUACAGGACCUGUCGGCGUUGCCUGAAGCCAUCCUGUCCGGAGAAGGUCGUUGCCUUCAAACGCUGACACGCUUCCCAGUUUCGCCUACAUAUACCAGUUGCAAAUGUAACGUACAAUGAACAUUGUCUUAAACAAAGAGGAAAUCAUUACAGCUUCUUUGGCCAAAAUUAUGUUCAAGGCUGGGUGCCGCUUCGAGUUGCAUAUUCGUAACCAAGCCAUCGCAUAAAAAAAACAGGGGCUUUUUUAAACAGUGAGCUGCCGACAAGAUAUGUGCAGACUAGUUUGAACACAAAAUACAUCAUGGAAGAUGCACGAAGUCAUGUACUUAUUCCCCAAAAUAAGAGAGGCGAGUUUCUGCUGAGAACGAAAGGAAGAAAAGGAAAGGCAGAAAGAUCAUCCAGG